UCUUCUAGAUGGUAAAAAAUUGCACAGCACGUUAAUAUCUCUAUGUAAACCCGACGUGUGGGCCUUUCCUCCGUAUUUCCUGAUAACCCCCUGCAGAAAUAGACAAACACCAAAACUCAUAGAAUUCUGUCAGAUAAAACCCCAAGUCUAGGUGUUGAUUGCAUUUGGAUCCUUUUCCACGAUUAGUUGAUGGUUAAAUAUGAGCAUUAAGGACUGUCAACAAGCUCCCCCAAGCUUAACCUUUGCUCGUCCCUGAGCAAAGAUGGACUCAAGAGUUUCUGCAGUGGUUUCAUGCCUUAAAGGUACACAUGCGUUCAAACAAGAUCUCAUCUCUAGGUUAGGGUAAACUGUUAAGAUAUAAACUUACUCAUUUUACCUUCCACCAUGGUCCUUGCAACCGUCACCUGUGUCUUGAGCAGUUAAAAGAUAGAACGGUCUAGUCAAGCGCCAUGUCUCUUGUUCUUCGAUUAACUAUAGCUCUGGAGUUUUUGUAGAUUUUCAAAUAAAACUCAGAGAUUCCUUGUAUGACUCUCUCUAGUCUCUCUUUUGUGGUAUUUCUGGAACCUUACCAAGGCAGUAAUGGUGUAUGCCAUCUCUCAAAUUAUGUGGUAUUUUUUGUAUGAGGCAUAGUGACAUUGCCUUCUCUCUCACCCUACUCUAAUAAGGUUUUUGAUAUCUGAAGCUCAUAGGUGGGAGACAGCUAAUACAUACAUACAAGACAUUUAUUGCAUAGUCAAACCAUGGAUCCAAAAGAACAAGUCAAUAAGUCAAAUCAAGAUGUGCAUGUGUGGCGAAUGAAUGGUGAUAAUGGUGAAAAUAAUGGUGAAAGUCUAAUUCUACUUUUGCCCUUUUGAGGGGGUACAUACCUUUCUUGCUCUUUUGAAACUUUUUGAGGAGAAUGAGAUGCUCUAUAUUUUCUUUUUCUUUUCUCUCAGGUGGGUAUCUUGUACCCCUAAUUCUACUGUCGGACACUUGUCCAUUUUUACCUCUCGUCUUACUUUUUCUUUUCUUUCGAGGUUCUGGGCACUUGCUCCUUUUUAUUUCCUCGCAUCUUCUCUUUUUUUUCUUUUUUAGAGCACUCAUUUCCUAAAAUAAUAUAGCAAGUGGUAGUUACCAGGAUAACUUGAGCAUUUUUUUCACAGGUGAAAACAUAAAUAGGAGAAUGUUUUUAGCUAUUCUCUCCCGGAUUAGGAGUAGAAUAUUUUUAGAUGGUUCUGGAGAUGGAAAUGAGUGGAUGUAUGUGGAUGCGUACUUCUAUAGUAGAAGCAGUAUGUAUGAGUAAACGUGCAAGUGAAUCUUGAUUUUAACCACAUGACAAGCUCCUAAGGGUCUACACAGCUUGACCACACUCAAUGCUCAUAAGCAGUAAAAAGUAAAUGUGUGGCUCAAAGUCUAGCAAGCAUGUAUAUAUGGUUGUGGUAGGAAUUUAAACUCUCAUCAUACAGGAACUCAUCAUGCAACAUUUUAAAGAGUUUCAAAGAUAAAAUUCUCCAGAAUUCUAGCAUCUCUAGGAACAGAUAAAUAGCAGCUCAACCUUCCCAUGUCAUAUCCAUUAACAACUUAGACUUUAGAUCAAGUACUCUUCCCACAAGUCCAGGUUUAGAGCAAAUCUUAAUUAAUUACAGUCAUGGCUAAACUUGAGAGAGAUUUCAAUUUUGAAAAUUAAUCAUGGUAGAGCAACUAUUCAUCAUUUCCAUGUGAGAGCUUAUCAUGAGGGUUCAUAGCAAACUUUAUUUAUUUAUUUGGCAAACUGAGCAAAGAUAUAUAUAUAUAAGCACAAAAAUCUUUAUUUGGGUUUUUAUGAUUAUGUAUCUUUUUCAUUAUUUGAGUAAAGUAUAAACAUGAGUAGAAUACUUAGCUGGAUAAAUGGAGGUGCUCUCCCCCAAGCUGGAUUUUAACGUAAUUUCUCCUGAUGUAGCUAGCAGGUGUCGGAGGUGUAUUUGAAUGUCAGCAGCACCCUGACAGCGAUUAGGAUCUCCUCCGUCUACUAGUCUUCUUUGAUCCUUGAAUUCUCUUGGCAAGGCAUUCGGUGUUUUUAAGUCCUCCGAAUGGUACUCUCCAUUUUCUCAAUCAUCUUGGGAUUUGCUGGAUGGCGUAGUCGGUGGUUUCGGCGGCGCCUGCUCUUCAUGUAUAACUAUCUUCUUUCUCCACACCUGACUCGGUGCACUUCUCCUUCACAGUCCGCCCAUCCGUCCUUGAUGAUUUUCCUCCUCUGGUUGUGGUUGCGUCGUCUUCUUCUUGUCCUGACCUGCUUAGAGUCUUCAACUAUAUAGUUAGGGUCAGUAAAAUAGCGGCGUACCUUCUCAGAGGGGAAAUGCAUGUGGACUUCUCCGGUUCCAAUGUAGAUGAUUGCUUUAACAGUGCUG
rnacentral:lncRNA from 1 species